CCUACGGGAGGCAGCAGUGGGGAAUUUUGGACAAUGGGCGCAAGCCUGAUCCAGCAAUGCCGCGUGCAGGAUGAAGGCCUUCGGGUUGUAAACUGCUUUUGUACGGAACGAAACGGCGAGCUCUAAUAAAGUUCGCUAAUGACGGUACCGUAAGAAUAAGCACCGGCUAACUACGUGCCAGCAGCCGCGGUAAUACGUAGGGUGCAAGCGUUAAUCGGAAUUACUGGGCGUAAAGCGUGCGCAGGCGGUGAUGUAAGACAGAUGUGAAAUCCCCGGGCUCAACCUGGGACCUGCAUUUGUGACUGCAUCGCUAGAGUACGGUAGAGGGGGAUGGAAUUCCGCGUGUAGCAGUGAAAUGCGUAGAUAUGCGGAGGAACACCGAUGGCGAAGGCAAUCCCCUGGACCUGUACUGACGCUCAUGCACGAAAGCGUGGGGAGCAAACAGGAUUAGAUACCCUGGUAGUCCACGCCCUAAACGAUGUCAACUGGUUGUUGGGUCUUCACUGACUCAGUAACGAAGCUAACGCGUGAAGUUGACCGCCUGGGGAGUACGGCCGCAAGGUUGAAACGUCAAAGGAAUUGACGG
rnacentral:rRNA from 1 species